AUUGAUGCUGUGAUUAUACAAAAUUCCUCGUUCUGAAUGCUGUAGAAUUGGCAUGACAGACCAAUUUACACCCAUAGAAUAUGAGCACCA